UAAUACGUAGGAGGCGAGCGUUAUCCGGAUUUAUUGGGCGUAAAGAGGGCGCAGGCGGUUCUUCAAGUCGGAUGUAAAAUCUCCCGGCUCAACUGGGAGGAGCCAUCCGAUACUGGUGGCUAGAGAGCAGCAGAGGGAGGUGGAAUUCCCGGUGUAGUGGUGAUAUGCGUAGAUAUCGGGAGGAACACCCGUGGCGAAGGCGGCCUCCUGGGCUGUUUCUGACGCUGAGGCCCAAAAGCGUGGGGAGCAAACAGGAUUAGAUACCCUGGUAGUCCACGCCGUAAACGAUGUUCACUAGGUGUCGCGGGUAUUUAACUCCUGCGGUGCCGUAGCUAACGCGAUAAGUGAACCGCCUGGGGAGUACGGCCGCAAGGUUA
rnacentral:rRNA from 1 species